GGAGAGGUCGCAUAGUGGUCUAGUGCGCUUGCUUGGAAAGCAAGUGUGCCGCAAGGCACCCAGGGUUCAAAUCCCUGCCUCUCCGCCA
rnacentral:tRNA from 1 species